CGGCGCUGCCUCCGCAUCUGGCGACGUCGUUCUCACUGACACCGGCGUUAAGUUUGAUCGGAAGUUAAUAUUCGACACCGAGUCAUGCCUAAAGUGAAAACAAACCGUGUCAAAUAUCCAGAGGGAUGGGAGUUGAUUGAACCUACUCUUAGUGAACUCCAAGCAAAAAUGAGGGAAGCUGAGAAUGAUCCUCAUGAUGGCAAAAGAAAAUGCGAGGCUUUGUGG
rnacentral:misc_RNA from 1 species